GCACGUUGGACACCUGUCUAGCUCUGCCUGCCCAGACAGCCUGCGCCCAGCCAACCACCCUCAGACGCAGUUUACAUGUGUGCACGCGCAUGUGUGGGUGUGGAAGCGUGUGCCUGCGUGUGUCUGUGUCCUUGUAUUCGUGUAACUGUGGGCAUAUGUCUGUGUGGGGGCUUCUGUGCUUGGGAAUGUGUGUUCAACUGUGCACGUACCAUGCCCUGCCUGUGCAGAUACACAUGUGUGGAUAAGGACUGAGUGUUCCUUGAGGAUGGAGCCCACAGAGCCUGUACCGGAUGAAUGGGUGAAGCAGUGCAUGCGUGAGAGCCGCUGGCAGAGGAUCGGAACCAGAGUGUGCAGGGUCCAGAAACAGAAAGAGCUGGGCAUCCACCCUGUGAAGCCGAUCCUCUGAGACGGUGUGCAUGUGUGCGAUCUUCAAUAAAGCUUUGAAGGAAGUCUUCUGAAGCAGAAGGGAGGGACCCAAGAGAGGUUUGCACUUGUGG
rnacentral:lncRNA from 1 species